rnacentral:rRNA from 1 species
AUGGUCAAUCAAAAGGUUGGAGUUUGUCAAGUCAGAAGGAAUCCACACUCCUCUGCAAAGUUUGUGGGGAGUGCUACUCAGGGUUUAGGGUUCUACCAUCUAGAUGUUCCAGAUGUGAAUGCCCAACACUUGGGAUGGUUGAAGAAUGUAGGGAUAGUGUUUGUUGAGUCAGGAGAGGUCUCAAAGGAGGAGUUGGCCAAAGAAUUUGCAAGUAUCUAUAAGACCAACUGGCCUUGGCCAAUUAACACUCUUGAUGAAUGGACUUUUCUAGUUAAGUUCCCACCAGAGAUUGAUGUCGACCAAGUAGUUGGCUACCCUUGUUUUGGGCUGUCCAAGGAAAACACCAUUAUCAAAGUGGAAACUUGGCUGGGGAAUGUGUCAGCUGAAGAUGAUCUACAAGAAGUCUGGCUAACAUUAAGGAAGAUCAAUCCAAAAUGGUGUGAGUGGACUCUGUUAGAUCAGAUUACCUCAACUUUUGGGGUGCUGCUAGAUGUAGACUGGCAGCACAACUUUCAGAGCGUUUAUGAGACUGUCAGGGUCAAGAUUUCCUACAAGGAUUACAACAGAAUUCCUCGGGAAAGAGUGUUUGGCAUUCAGGGGAAGCUUUAUAGGAUCCUGGUAGAAGUUGAACCACCACAGGUUGAUGAGGUGGUGGUGGUGCAAAACCCACAAUCCACCAAUACACAGGUCCCUAGAACCAUGGAAAAAGGAGACAAUGGGCCACCAAAAGAUGUUGGGUCACAGAAAGGCUCUAAAAAUGGCUUUGAUAAAGGAUAUAAUAUUGGCUCUGGCUCUGGUGGAGGAAACACAAAAAGUUCUGCCCAGGGUCUUAGCAAUGAAGCUAUGGAACCUCCCACCCCUACAUCUCUCCUGAAAAACCAAGCACGAGAGAAUUUGCAGCAGGUCGGAAAGAGUGUUCUAGACUCCUAG